UACGUAGGCAGCAAGCGUUGUUCGGAAUUACUGGGCGUAAAGAGUGUGUAGGUGGUGUCGUAAGUUUGGUGUGAAAUCUCCCGGCUUAACUGGGAGGGUGCGCCGAAGACUGCGAUGCUGGAGUAUGGGAGAGGAAAGCGGAAUUCCUGGUGUAGCGGUGAAAUGCGUAGAUAUCUGGAGGAAUACCGGUGGCGAAGGCGGCAUCCUGGGCCAAUACUGACGCUGAGGCGCGAAAGCUAGGGGAGCAAACGGG
rnacentral:rRNA from 1 species